UCUUUCCUUUUCCGUUUUUUUCUCCCUCUCCCUCUCUCUCUCUCUUAUUUUUGCAAAAAAGUUAUUCAAACUGUAAAUUUAAACAAUCAUGAAAAAUGUAUAAACAAAAUAGAGAGAGAGAGAGAGGGGGAGGGGGAGAGGGAGAAAAGG
rnacentral:precursor_RNA from 1 species